CGUUCUGUCCCGUACGCAUUCUGCACAGCGACCAUUGGCUCGCGCCCUAAUCAGGAGAUGACGAGCGCCGACGUAUCCGGAAUCUGCACCGGCAAAACAAGGCGUCGCCCAAAACAAAGCUGCAAAGUGGGCAGUUCGAGGUGUCCAGCCGGUAGCCAAGGCCACACGGGGCCCUAUAAAAGCGGGCGCUGAGACCCGGUCAGCAUACAGUGCAGCCCAGGCAGCAUCCACACCUCAACCACCAUGAAGGCUUUCGUGUGCUCUUUCCUCGUAGUCCUGCUGGUGGCGGCCGUGUUCGCCCAGGAGAAGGCCAAGGAGACCCUGAAGGGCGCCGAGGCCUACUACGCCUACGCUGCCCCCUACGCCUACAGCGCCUUCGGCUACCCCGCCGUCAGUGCCUACUCCGCCUACCCUUACGCUGCCGUCGGCUACCCCUACUACUACCGCUGAAAAUGGACACGACUUCUACGAGGAUGCAGUUCUCACUUCAGUGACUACUGUACUCUCUUCCUUCCUUCAAUAAAUACAACUGUAUCACAAAACGUA